GGCCCCUUAGCUCAAUUGGAUAGAGUAUCUGACUUCGAAUCAGAAUGUUGGGAGUUCGAGUCUCUCAGGGGUCACCA
rnacentral:tRNA from 1 species